GGCUUCAUAGUAUAUUGGUUAGUACGCCAGACUGUCACUUUGGAAAGACGGGUUCGAUUCCCGUUGAGGCCG
rnacentral:tRNA from 2 species